rnacentral:rRNA from 1 species
CCUACGGGAGGCAGCAGUGGGGGAUAUUGCACAAUGGGGGAAACCCUGAUGCAGCGACGCCGCGUGGGUGAAGAAGCGCCUCGGCGCGUAAAGCCCUGUCAGCAGGGAAGAAAAUGACGGUACCUGAAGAAGAAGCCCCGGCUAACUACGUGCCAGCAGCCGCGGUAAUACGUAGGGGGCAAGCGUUAUCCGGAUUUACUGGGGGUAAAGGGGGCGCAGACGGCGAUGCAAGCCAGGAGUGAAAGCCCGGGGCCCAACCCCGGGACUGCUCUUGAAACUGCGUGGCUAGAGUGCAGGAGGGGCAGGCGGAAUUCCUGGUGUAGCGGUGAAAUGCGUAGAUAUCAGGAGGAACACCGGUGGCGAAGGCGGCAUACUGGACUGCAACUGACGUUGAGGCCCGAAAGCGUGGGGAGCAAACAGGAUUAGAUACCCCUGUAGUC